rnacentral:rRNA from 1 species
CCUGGUUGAUCCUGCCAGUAGUCAUAUGCUUGUCUAAAAGAUUAAGCCAUGCAUGUAUAAGCUAAAGCUGAUAAAUAGUGAAGCCGCGGACAGCUCAUUAAUACACUCAUAAUCUUCGCAAUGCAUCCAAUAUGGAUAUCUGUGCUAAUUUUAGAGCCAAUACACGCAAUCAAGCCCCUUAAUUGGGGAGCAUUUAUUAGAACAAAACCGAUCGGGGUCUCCCCGCUGUUGGUGAAUCUGAAUAACUGUGCAGAUCGCAGGUCUUUGUACCGGCGACACAUUGCAAGAGUGAGUGCCUUAUCAACUGUCGAUGGUAGUAUAUAUGCCUACCAUGGUUAUUACGGGUAACGGAGAAUUAGGGUUUGACUCCGGAGAGGCAGCCUGAGAGACGGCUACCAGUUCUAAGGAACGCAGCAGGCGCGCAAAUUACACAAUGACAGUAAACUGUUGAUGUAGUGACAAGAGGUAACGGGGCGGUCCUCUAUGAGGCCCGUCAUUGUAUUGAGUAAAACUCAAAAUAUUUAACGAAACCAAUUGGAGGGCAAGUCUGGUGCCAGCAGCCGCGGUAAUUCCAGCUCCAAAAGCAUAUAUUAAAGUUGUUGCGGUUAAAAAGCUCGUAGUUGGAUCCAUGACCUCGGAGGGCGGUCCCCCACUGGGUGCGUACUGCUGCUCCGAGUCCUAUCUGUCAGUUUGUCUGUGUUGCCUUUAAUCGGGUGGCACAGGUGACUGACGUGUUUACUUUGAAAAAAUUAGAGUGUUUAAAGCAGGCGUUGAAUGCCUGAAUAGUGGUGCAUGGAAUAAUGGAAUAGGAUCUCGGUUCUAUUUUGUUGGUUCAAGAGCAUGAGAAAAUGAUUAAGAGGGACAGACGGGGGCAUUUGUAUUGCUGCGUUAGAGGUGAAAUUCUUGGAUCGUAGCAAGACAAACUACUGCGAAGGCAUUUGCCAAGAAUGUUUUCAUUAAUCAAGAACGAAAGUUAGAGGUUCGAAGGCGUUCAGAUACCGCCCUAGUUCUAACCGUAAACCAUGUCGACUAGCUAUCUGUCAGCGUUAAUAAUGACCUGACAGGCAGCUUACCGGAAACGAAAGUUUCUCGAUUCCGGGGGUAGUAUGGUUGCAAAGCUGAAACUUAAAGGAAUUGACGGAAGGGCACCACCAGGAGUGCAGCCUGCGGCUUAAUUUGACCCAACACGGGAAAACUCACCCGGCCCGGACACCGUAAGGAUUGACAGAUUAAUAGCUCUUUCUCGAUUUGGUGAUUGGUGGUGCAUGGCCGUUCUUAGUUGGUGGAGCGAUUUGUCUGGUUAAUUCCGAUAACGAACGAGAUUCUAACUUACUAACUAGUUCCACGAUCCUUGUGGUCCUAAAUACUUCUUAGAGGGAAAACCGG